rnacentral:lncRNA from 1 species
AUGGCCACGGCGAUGGCCGCGGUGGCCACGGUGUCCCCAGGGCCAUGGUGUCCCCAGGGAUGUCCCCAGGACCACGGUGUCCCCACAGACAACACCAGAGCUGUGGCAUCAUGGCCAUGGGGAUGGCUGUGGCGGCCACGCAGUCCCCAGGGCCAGGGCUGUGGUGGCCCCAGGGCCACAGUGUCCCCAGGGAUGUCCCCAGGGCUGCGGUGUCAUGGCCAUGGGGAUGGGCACAGUGGCCGUGGUGUCCCCAGGACCACGGUGUUCCCAGAGCCGUGGAGUCAUGGCUGUGAGGAUGGCCAUGGUGGCCAUGGUGUCCCCAGGGCUGUAGUGUCCCAAGGGAUGUCCCCAGGACCACGGUGUCCCCUGGGACCUCACCAGAGCUGUGGCAUCAUGGCCACGGGCAUGGCUGUGGUGGCCAUGGCAUCCCCAGCGAUGUCCCCAGGACUGUCCCCAGAGCCAUGGAGUCACGUCUGUGGGGAUGGCUAUGGUGACCACAGUGUCCCCAGGGAUGUCACCAGAGCUGUGGCAUCAUGGCCAUGGGGAUGGCUGUGGUGGCCAUGGUGUCCCCAGGACCAUGGUGUCCCAAGGGAUGUCCCCAGGACCACCGUGUCCCCUGGGACCUCACCAGAGCUGUGGCAUCAUGGCCAUGGGGACAGCUGUGGUGGCCACAGUGUCCCCAGGACCACGGUGUCCCCAGAGCCGUGGAGUCAUGGCUGUGGGGAUGUCUGUGGUGGACAUGGUGUCCCUAGGGCCAUGGUGACCCCUGGGAUGUCCCCAGGGCCACAGUGUCAUGGCCACAGGGCUGGCCGCGGUGGCCACUGUGUCCCCAGCACCACGGCGUCCCUUUGGUGUCAUCGUCCCCAUCCCCACAGCCCAUGUCGUUCCAUGGGAGCCCAGGUGAGGUCCACCAUGUCCCCGUCCACCGUCCCCCUCCAGCACCCCCCCAUAGCUGUCCGUGUCACCCCAUUACGUGUCCAUCACCCCCCCCCGACAUCCCCUGACGUCACCGGCAGAGCCACAGGAGGAAACCGCCGGUCCCGUGGGAGCGUGUGA